rnacentral:rRNA from 1 species
AGUGAACGCUGGCGGUAGGCCUAACACAUGCAAGUCGAACGGCAGCACAGUAAGAGCUUGCUCUUACGGGUGGCGAGUGGCGGACGGGUGAGGAAUACAUCGGAAUCUACUUUUUCGUGGGGGAUAACGUAGGGAAACUUACGCUAAUACCGCAUACGACCUACGGGUGAAAGCAGGGGAUCUUCGGACCUUGCGCGAUUGAAUGAGCCGAUGUCGGAUUAGCUAGUUGGCGGGGUAAAGGCCCACCAAGGCGACGAUGCGUAGCUGGUCUGAGAGGAUGAUCGGCCACACUGGAACUGAGACACGGUCCAGACUCCUACGGGAGGCAGCAGUAGGGAAUAUUGGACAAUGGGCGAAAGCCUGACGCAGCAACGCCGCGUGAGUGAAGAAGGUCUUCGGGUCGUAAAGCCCUGUUGUUGGGAAAGAAAAACAGCAGGUUAAAACCUGGCUGUUCUGACGGUACCCAAAGAAUAAGCACCGGCUAACUUCGUG